UACAGAGGUGGCAAGCGUUGUUCGGAAUUACUGGGCUUAAAGGGCGCGUAGGCGGCUUGCCAAGUCCGGGGUGAAAGCCCCCAGCUCAACUGGGGAAGGGCCUCGGAUACUGGCGAGCUCGAGGGAGGUAGGGGUCGAGGGAACUUCCGGUGGAGCGGUGAAAUGCAUUGAGAUCGGAAAGAACACCAACGGCGAAAGCACUCUGCUGGGCCGACACUGACACUGAGAGACGAAAGCUAGGGGAGCAAAUGGG
rnacentral:rRNA from 1 species